rnacentral:rRNA from 1 species
AUUGAACGCUGGCGGCAUGCCUUACACAUGCAAGUCGAACGGCAGCGCGGGAGCAAUCCUGGCGGCGAGUGGCGAACGGGUGAGUAAUAUAUCGGAACGUGCCCAGUAGUGGGGGAUAGCCGGCGAAAGCCGGAUUAAUACCGCAUGAGACCUGAGGGUGAAAGCGGGGGAUCGCAAGACCUCGCGCUAUUGGAGCGGCCGAUAUCAGAUUAGCUAGUUGGUGGGGUAAAGGCCUACCAAGGCAACGAUCUGUAGUUGGUCUGAGAGGACGACCAGCCACACUGGGACUGAGACACGGCCCAGACUCCUACGGGAGGCAGCAGUGGGGAAUUUUGGACAAUGGGCGCAAGCCUGAUCCAGCAAUGCCGCGUGCAGGAAGAAGGCCUCGG